UGAAUGAGCCUUCAUCUUUGCUCGUCACACCGCCUGCUUCACUGCUUGAAGACUUUGGGGGCUGUCCUGUCUCUUUCUUCCAGAUACAAGAAGACUCUUGGCCUUUUCUUUGUCGACUUCACUUCCGGGGCAGAAGAAACUACCUUGCCCUGGCUAUCAGGAUGGGGUACCUGUGGAGACUGAAUUUGGAGAUAGCAGUGAAGACGAAGGAGCUGGAGUUUCAAAGCAGGGCCUUGGACAGAGUCUUGGGCAGAGCGUUCAAGGUUUGUUCCAACAGAAUUCAUGACACAAGAAAGGCUCACAUCAUAUAGUAACACUUAUAUCAGAGGUGUGGUCGGCAACCUGGUGAGAAACUCGAGAGGAGGGAACCCUGACCUGGGGCUGAGAAGAAAUCUGCAUGCAUCUCACUUCUGAGAAACCAGAAAGCCCUGUAACUCUCCACUCUAAAUCAAAUUUAGGAGACCGAGAGCCUGUGGGCUCUUGUAUUAACUGCAAUGAGUUCUUGUCACUUGAAGUCUCUGUUAAAUGAAGAAUGUCAAGUUUAAUUUCCAGAA
rnacentral:sRNA from 1 species